CGUGAUGUUCGAACGAAAAACAUAAAUUCUCCCUGUUUUAUUCACCGUGCGUUUAUACUUAUGUAUACUUUUCGUAUUAUAAUUUAUAAUUUAUAACAAUUAACGACACAUAUCACCGCGUGCCCAUUUAUUAGUUUAUUGUUUAACGUUUGUUGAACGUUACAUCCGGAAUAAUAAUAAUUCGAUUAUCGUAGUAUAGUUCUCUUUUAAUUGCAUAACAGGCGAUUUUACUCUAAAACCGAAAUUAGGCGAGUUCUACGCAGUCUAUACGCGUGUGAGGUGGACGUCGCUACAUUGCCCGUUGGUUGGACCGAUACGGCACGCGUGCGGAUGUAGCGGCCUCUUAUCAGUGAUUCUUGAAAACACGCAAUUCGUUUUGAAAAUGAAUCACGAACCGGUUCGUUCGAGCGGUGGCUCUGGAGACUCAGUUUUGGGGGUGAGGAUCGGCUAAGUCGUAUUUUUCAGAAAACUAUAUGAAUAACAAAAGCAUAUUUUAUACAGUUCAGAAGUUGUAAUGCACAGUACAGAUGUAGUCUAUAGUAUACCGCCUCCAAUCACACACUUGUACGUAUCCGUAAUAGUCGAUAUAUCGACUAUAGGGUGUUAUAUAUCGCAUUAUACACAUUAUAUUUAGUGUGAUUAUAAGUGGAACGAAGAAGCUUGUGGUUUUAUAAAGAUGAUUAUUAUGUUUUUUUUCCGUAGACAACUUUUCUACCAGAAAUCUUGCUCCGAUGAUUUUUAAGUGUAGCACCUUUUCUGUAAGGAAAUCGGUGUGAAUAGGAGGUAAUUUUUCUAUUUUAUCAAUAGAUUUCUCAAAAUGUGUGAAAUACCGAAAAACAACGGAGAAAAAACGGGAAAAUCCGUACGAUAUUAAACAAAUAUUAUUA